rnacentral:rRNA from 1 species
AUUGAACGCUGGCGGCAGGCCUAACACAUGCAAGUCGAGCGGAGCGGCGGAAGGGUGAGUAAUGCCCAGGAAUCUGCCUGGUAGUGGGGGAUAACGCACGGAAACGGGCGAUAAUACCGCAUACUAUCAGAUGAGACUAUGUCGGAUUAGCUAGUUGGUGGAGUAAAGGCCUACCAAGGCGACGCGCCGUAACUGGUCUGAGAGGAUGAUCAGUCAACCUGGAACUGAGACACUGUCCAGACUCCUACGGGAGGCAGCAGUGGGGAAUAUUGGACAAUGGGCGAAAGCCUGAUCCAGCCAUGCCGCGUGUGUGAAGAAGGUCUUCGGAUUGUAAAGCACUUUAAGUUGGGAGGCGUUACCAACAGAAUAAGCACCGGCUAACUUCGUGCCAGCAGCCGCGGUAAUUC